GGCGGGGGGCCAGGGCGCGCGGCGUGGGCCGGGCCGCGGCAGAGCGAGAAGUUGGCGGCGGCGGCGGCAGCGGGGGGGGGGGAGCGCGGAGCUGCGCGGCGGCGGAGCGCAGGGCAAGGUAGAGCGUUGUUGGUCUUCACCAUGAUGGGGGAGAGAGACACAGAAAGGAAAAAAAUCACCAUUAUGAGAGCAGACAAUGCUUCCCUGCGCGGACACGCAGAUGCGCGUGCAUGCCGACUCGGAUAUCGUCUCUCCCCCGGCUGCGGGGAGCUGCCCUUCUGGGAUGCGUGCACCCAGGAGCGAUAAAGCAGCGCAUCUGUACAGCACUCGGAGACCAACAGGCAUUUUCUCCUCUACUUGUUCACACCUUUUCUUACGUAACUGGUGCUGAAGCGUGUGCUUUAAAAGCUUUAAAAAGCCAAAGCCAGGGGCUGGGAGUAAGCACAAAUGCUUCCAGCACUCUAGAUUAAAACAAAGCAAAACAAAACCCACCAUCCAAAUAAGAAAGAACCGAUGCAAACACAACUACCAGGAGGAAGCGUUUCGGGUAUUUGCAGCUGUGUUACCCUCCCGAAACCAUACUGGCCCAGUGUGGUGUUGGUACCCUAAAUAACAGCAGCUGAGAGCGCGGGGGGGGGGACGCCUGGCAUAACGAGCGGACACAACGUGGGGUAGACGGCCAAGAAACCGGGAGUGAGUUUCGUUCACGCAUUGUUAUUGGAAACAACCCCGGGGAGGCCGGCAGUGCGGGAAGCGGACAGCUGCCCAAACGGAGCGGCCACGUACCGCGGCCCGGUGGUGAGGGCCGGGAAGCGGGAGGGCCCCAGCAGGUAAAGCUUGCGCCCCAAUAAACCCUGCGCUUUCCGUGGGGGGAAGCGAUCCCGGGAGGUGCAGCGACCUGGGGCAGUGCUGGCUGCCGUCGCGGGGGGAACAGCCCGGCGAUGAAUUCACGCAGCCGCCAGCGCGGGGAAGCGGGACGCCCUCCUGCGCGGGGGGAACCCGAGCCCCGACGCCGCGGGAGCAUCCCCGCGCUGGGGCGAGCCGGCGCGCCCAGGCCACCAUAUACGCUUGGAUCGGUGCCUCGCUCACCACCGCACGGCUAGGACGCCUCGUACGCUGGGGUUUGGGUUUAAGAAAAACUCUGCUGGCUUUGUUUUAAUCUCGUAACAAUGAGUAAUUUCUUCCUACCGCUCUGUAGUGGCCUAGAAAAGGACAGCAUCAUCUCCACUGUAGCAAGAAGGCUUCUCCCAGGGCAUAAAAUUUUAAUUAGGAACAAUCGUGCAGCCUUGAAAUGGGAAUUGCAAGCAGCAAAAGUCAAAUCAUCAAUAAAAUAUUCAAUGGCAGAAA